CGCGUAGGCGGCUCGGAACGUCCGUUGUGAAAUCGCCCGGCUCAACUGGGCGGGGUCAGCGGAUACGAUCGAGCUGGAGCAAGCUAGGGGGCAAUGGAAUUCCCGGUGUAGUGGUGGAAUGCGUAGAUAUCGGGAGGAACACCAGUGGCGAAGGCGGUUGCCUGGGGCUUUGCUGACGCUGAUGCGCGAAAGCGUGGGGAGCGAUCC
rnacentral:rRNA from 1 species